UAGGGAAUCUUCCGCAAUGGGCGAAAGCCUGACGGAGCAACGCCGCGUGAGUGAAGAAGGAUUUCGGUUCGUAAAGCUCUGUUGUUAGGGAAGAAUGAUUGUGUAGUAACUAUACACAGUAGAGACGGUACCUAACCAGAAAGCCACGGCUAACUACGUGCCAGCAGCCGCGGUAAUACGUAGGUGGCAAGCGUUGUCCGGAAUUAUUGGGCGUAAAGCGCGCGCAGGUGGUUUAAUAAGUCUGAUGUGAAAGCCCACGGCUCAACCGUGGAGGGUCAUUGGAAACUGUUAAACUUGAGUGCAGGAGAGAAAAGUGGAAUUCCUAGUGUAGCGGUGAAAUGCGUAGGGAUUAGGAGGAACACCAGUGGCGAAGGCGGCUUUUUGGCCUGUAACUGACACUGAGGCGCGAAAGCGUGGGGAGCAAACAGGGUUAGAUACCCUGGUAGUCCACGCCGUAAACGAUGAGUGCUAAGUGUUGGUCUCAUAAGAGAUCAGUGCUGCAGCUAACGCAUUAAGCACUCCGCCUGGGGAGUACGACCGCAAGGUUG
rnacentral:rRNA from 1 species